rnacentral:rRNA from 1 species
AUUGAACGCUGGCGGCAGGCCUAACACAUGCCAGUCGAGCGGAUGAAGGGAGCUUGCUCCUGGAUUCAGCGGCGGACGGGUGAGUAAUGCCUAGGAAUCUGCCUGGUAGUGGGGGAUAACGUCCGGAAACGGGCGCUAAUACCGCAUACGUCCUGAGGGAGAAAGUGGGGGAUCUUCGGACCUCACGCUAUCAGAUGAGCCUAGGUCGGAUUAGCUAGUUGGUGGGGUAAAGGCCACCAAGGCGACGAUCCGUAACUGGUCUGAGAGGAUGAUCAGUCACACUGGAACUGAGACACGGUCCAGACUCCUACGGGAGGCAGCAGUGGGGAAUAUUGGACAAUGGGCGAAAGCCUGAUCCAGCCAUGCCGCGUGUGUGAAGAAGGUCUUCGGAUUGUAAAGCACUUUAAGUUGGGAGGAAGGGCAGUAAGUUAAUACCUUGCUGUUUUGACGGUACCAACAGAAUAAGCACCGGCUAACUUCGUG